rnacentral:rRNA from 1 species
CCUACGGGAGGCAGCAGUGAGGAAUAUUGGUCAAUGGACGAGAGUCUGAACCAGCCAAGUAGCGUGAAGGAUGACUGCCCUAUGGGUUGUAAACUUCUUUUAUAUGGGAAUAAAAUGUUCCACGUGUGGGAUUUUGUAUGUACCAUAUGAAUAAGGAUCGGCUAACUCCGUGCCAGCAGCCGCGGUAAUACGGAGGGUCCGAGCGUUAUCCGGAUUUAUUGGGUUUAAAGGGAGCGUAGGUGGAUUGUUAAGUCAGUUGUGAAAGUUUGCGGCUCAACCGGAAAAUUGCAGUUGAAACUGGCAGUCUUGAGUACAGUAGAGGUGGGCGGAAUUCGUGGUGUAGCGGUGAAAUGCUUAGAUAUCACGAAGAACUCCGAUUGCGAAGGCAGUUCACUGGACUGCAACUGACACUGAGGCUCGAAAGUGUGGGUAUCAAACAGGAUUAGAUACCCCUGUAGUC